AUUUUGCUAAUGUUCUAUGAUGUCACAAAUGACAGAAUUUUUUUAUCAUCCGUCCCUUGAAGAAAACUUAUGUUGAAUUCAUAGGUUAGCCAUUAUACACAGUACUGCAAUGAACAUGGGAGUGUAAACAUCUCUUUGACACACUGAUUUCAAAUCUUUCAGGUGAUUUGUUGGACACACCAAUGCUCCUGACACAUGCUAUUCACUUGGAGCAGCUCCUCUUAUGUGGCACAUUCACAGUGCAACGAUAACAUCGAGACGUGAGAGUUAGUCUUCUCUGUAUAUGUACUCACAUAAGAAUCUGUACAUGUACUCACACAACACUCAAAUAUUUUUCAAUGAAGUUUCAUCAUCUUUGGAGUCUUACCUGUUAUUUGUUAAGGACAUUGAGAAUGUUGCCUUUCAUCCUUACUGAAAAAUUCAAU